UGCAAUUAGCCAAGCUCGAGUAAGUGAUUCCCAAAAUCCCCAUACUAAUGUAUUAUUAUUAACAUGCCUGAUAUGUGAUUAACAUGUCAGAGUAAGGCGAAGGAUAUCUUCAAGAAUCACAUGCUAGAUUUGUCUGAUUUGUGUGAUACCUUAUAGCCUAGGAGGAUUGGAAGCUAUGUAUUACUCUUAAUUUAUAUCGGCUUAGUUAAUUGCUAAGUGUAUGAUUUAAAAAUUGUAUACGACUAGGAUCAUAUAGCCCUAGAAUGAUUGGUCUAGCCUUAUUUCUUGUUCCUUGUCUGGUUGUGGGCUUGGGGUAGAAUCAUUAUUUGACAGUCUAUGUGGUCCCAUUUUGUGUACAAUUUGCAUGCAUAAAGCAACCAACAGUGCUGGUUGAGGUUCUUACUAUUGUAGAGACUGGCAAGUUGAGAAUUUGUAGGAGAUCAUAGGAAUCAUAGUGGGAUAUGUAUGCUGCUUAGCAUAGGAAUUAUGUAUAUGUCUUUAAUAGGGUGACUCAGAGGAUUCGGGACAGUUCUUGAGGAAAGAAUGAAUAAGUGUGGAAGGAAGUAUUGGGCCCAUAUUACUAAAAGCAUAGGAUUUGUUGUAGAAUCAAGGACGGUCUUGAGGAUUUUAAGGAGCCUGUAGAGUGGGAGUUCUAUCAAGUCAUUCUGAUCGUUUGUAUGUUUGUAAAUUUAGUAUCGUGACCACUCGAGGAGGACCUUAUGGUUCUGGCUCUGGUACAUAACCGAUUGAUGAGUGGUUACGUGAGUUUAUCAUUGUUGGGUUUUGGUAUAAUACAACAUCCUAUGGUGCACAUACAACCCUAAAUACCUUGGAUCUAUGUUUUCACUAAUUAUACAUGCAAAUGGUUUCCAAGGAAUUAUACCUAUAACUAGCAUGCAUUUGACAUAAACCAUAUAAUAUACUAGUUAGGGAAACAUACCUUUUAUGUGGCUUGAAGUCUUGAUGUAUUUGGCCUUAAGAGCUUAGCACCAAUAGUAUGAAAUGCCUCAAAUGGAAUCACAACACACCUAGGACAAACAUGGCUCUUGAGAGAGAAUUCCAUGCACCAAAACACCUCCAUAUUUCUCUUAGAAAAGAAGUGGUGAUUUUGGCUAUGGGGUAACCUAUUUAUAUGUAGGAUUCCAAGGGUCAUGGGUAUAACCCAUAAUCCAUACCCAUGGGUUUUAUGAUCCAUGGUUCAUGUGGCCCAACUCUUUAUGUAUCCAUACAUAAACUUGGUCCAACAUGGGUCAUAAGCCCAACACAUAUAAAUAUAACUAAUUAUCAUAAUUAGUCCCCAUAGAUUUAAUUAGUCUCUUUUGAUCACUAAAUUAAUUCCAAAUUAAUUCUUGAUCGAUACUAAUUAAAACAUAUGAUUUCAUAUUAAUAUAUUAUAACUUAUAAUAUAUUAAUAAACCAUAAAUAACCUUCUCUCAAAAGUCCAUCCUAACAAAUUGUCCUGAUGAUAUGCAACCCAAAUGGACCAUGCUACUCUCGGGUCAAGUACAUACCAAUAAUAGUUAUGGGCUUAGACAUCUAAUCCAACAGUCUCCCACUUGGAUAAGUCUAAAACUAUUAUUGCAAGUACGACUUCAUAACCCGACUAGCAAUCGUAGCUCUUAAAGCCGCUGUCGAACUCUGAACAAAUCAAUGACGCGUCCAUUAGAUAAGGGAUCAUAUAUUCCUCCAUUCUAGAUAUCAUAUGGACUGAGACAUGGAUUAUAAUCAUUCUCUCUGUCCAUUUGUUGUUUCCCGAUUUCCGAUUUAUGACGACUGACUAAUUGAACAAAUCAAAUCAGUCCUGGCCCGGCCGAGCACUUCCAUUUGUCAUCAUCAAAUCAUCGAGGGGCCCACAGAUAUCGCUUUUAUCCCGAAGGUAAAAGGAAUGGAUAAACUUCGACUCAUAUGGCUUGUUCUACUACUUGUUGAAUCAUACACAAAGGCACGUUUUAUAACAUCGAGUUACCAAUGCGUUUUCGUGCAAUCAAUGUAUAACCAACUCAUAGUAACAACUCAUAUCUCUAGGUUUGAAGAAUAUAAGAUAUUAUCGUCUCAUGAUCACUCGUGAUAAAAUCCAUGAAGUGAUUCCAAUGAGCGCGGGUUGAAUCCAAUACUCAGAACUUAUGAGCACUCAUGAGUGUUGUAGCCCUUUGUCCAACACCUUAGACCUCUACAAGCCAACCCAUGACAGUCUUAAUUCAUAUCUACUUCCAACAUAUGACCGACUGUGGAUGGUUUGAAUAACUUAGUCAUUCCGGAAGAAUAACCUAGUUUAUUCGGGAAGUCAAAACAUGCAAAAUGAAACACAAUAAUAAUUGAAUCCAAUAUGGUAUCAACACUUUGAACAUAAAUAAAACACCUUUUAUUUAUCACCAUAUGAUUACACAUUAUUCAUUGUAUACUGUUUCAGCUAUCAACUUUAUUCUUGAAUUUAAAACAAUAGUUGUCCCAUGCUCCAAGCAUGUACACUAUGUUUUCUUAAACACUAGUCAUGCCACACACCAAGUAUGCAUACUAUGUUUGUCUAUGAUCUUUACUUUGUGAACUAGAUCAAUUGAACAUAACUUCAAUGAUUCUCUUUUCACACUCCCAAAUCCUUACUGCAAAUGCAAGAAUUCCAAAUUCAUGCCAUUUACUGAAAUCUGUUAGAUUCUAAACUUAUAUGCAUUGAUCCUCUUGUAAUGAUUAUGCACAAAGUCAGAAAGACUUGACAACAAUCAUUACAGAGUAUUCCAAAGGAGAUCAGCUCCUUGGAAACAUCCUUCUUGCAUUAAGUUUCCUAAUCUUAAACAGAUUGAAAAUUCUAACUUUGAAACAUUUCCAGAUUCCAUUUUGACUAUCACUUCUGAACAAGAGUUGCCUCCUUACAGAUUAUGUCAAUAUGGUCCUUCCAGAAUUAUCACUAUACUUCCAACUGUCCUUGAGCAACCAAUCUUUGGUAAACCUUAGAUUGUCCUCGACAAUUGUUUAAUCCUUUUAGUCAUAUCCAGUUCUAAACCUUUUCCCUUCUUAAUGCCCCAGGCAUUUGGAAAAUUUUAGAACGGAUGAAUAUAGCACAUGUAAUCGAUCCUAUAUCCGAAGCAUAUGGGACACGAUUCAUGAUGUCUCACAUAAAGACUAAACCAGUCUUUUGCUAUAACAUUUCCAUUUCAAUUUGCCAAGUUCUCAUAAUUCAGAUUAUGAAAAGGGAUGCCGUAAUCAUAAUCGAAUUUUAGAACGCAAAUAAUGGACCCAUAUACAGAAUUUCCUUAUGUUGAGCCAUUCCAACAUGAAAUUCAUAUAUAUCCUUGACUAAAUGAUUAAAACCUCACGAUCUAAGCUUAUAGAUUUGAGAUGAAGCAUAAUUUCCUCUCCCUUAAUUAUAGCAAAACAAAAUUUUCAACCCUUGCAACCUCACGAAUUGAAACUUUUUUUUUCUAUCACUAACAUUGCUAACUUGCAAUACUUAUCAUAAUUAUCAUGCUCCCACUAACAUGAUGAUUAUUAGCAUAACACUUAUGCUCCCACUAGCUUUGACAUGUACCUAGAAAUCAACAGAACUUCUAGAAAUCAAUACUUUAUUGACUUUCUUACCAAAGUUCAGAUUUCUGAUACUAGAUUGUUUUGAUAAGACUUUAUCAAAAUCAUACACCUUCCCUUAGAUAGCACACUUGUGUAUCUAAACAAUUAUGAAGAGGGAUGCCGUAAUCAUAAUGUUUAGACCUUUUUGCCACUUCUCACAAGUCCAAAUUAGUGUGCCGGUUAACCACACGCGCUCCACUAACGACUUUGAGAAUGCAAAUAUCACAAUUGCUAUCUAGCUAAAAUCUACUUAGUGAAAGUGUUUCCUCACCAUCAUUUUCAUGAAUCGGAGAGAAACCUUAUGACACUUAGAUUUAAUGGUGUAUGUGUUCUUAUCCAUGUGAAUUGUCAAAAUCAUAGUCACAAGACAAGGAUAAUGACAAAUCCAAACUCAUAUGGACUGAACUCAAUCUUAAUUUCUUGCCACCUGGCAGCUCAAGGGCCUACCAUUGCUUCCAAGUUGUUGUGCAACAAAUUGAGAACUCUAAGAACUCAUAUGCAAAGCCAACUUUAACUGGAAUGGGCACAGAAUAUGUCAACACGAUAGGUUAUGAACCUCAAGUUGUGUGCUAGUGAAGAACUUUAGGUUUUAUUCUUGAUUAGUUCUUGAGACUUUCAAGACCUUUAAGACUCCCACUGUCCUCUUGACNNNNNNNNNNNNNNNNNNNNNNNNNNNNNNNNNNNNNNNNNNNNNNNNNNNNNNNNNNNNNNNNNNNNNNNNNNNNNNNNNNNNNNNNNNNNNNNNNNNNNNNNNNNNNNNNNNNNNNNNNNNNNNNNNNNNNNNNNNNNNNNNNNNNNNNNNNNNNNNNNNCCAAAUAUUCAAGAGAUAGUGUGGAUUCUAAUCAAGACAGACACUUAACACAAUUAGCCUUAGUUGGUCUUUGUUUUAUCCAAAACAUCACAACUUACCAAUUUCAAAUGUACAAGAGUAGAAAACUUUUACUCUUACAUUUGACAAGUGUUUUAAACCUUCUUUAAGACAUGUCACUCAAGUUACAAUCUUAGAGUAUAACUCUAUGAAUUGUUUUGGAAUGAAGUAUGAAUCAUCUUCUUGAUUUAACCACUUCAACAAUUCAUAACUCCUCUUCUUAACUAUCAGAAUGUACUUAGAGGAUGAAUUGUGAUAAGGUCUCAAAAUCAUUAAGAUGACCUUAAAACAUGAUACUAAAGUACUCUCCCAUCUUUUCAGAUUUGAGAAACUUUUAUCCUUCUGCCUAAUUUGAUUCUUCUUAUUCGUUCUGUCAUACAUUGAAAAUUUUCCAAUGUUUCAGAAUUAUACUUAAGCUUGUAAGUAUAAUCAUAUUUACUAAACCUUAGUAAAUCAUGACGAAUAGUCUUAUCCAUCUUUUGUGGUGGACUUUGACAAGUGCACAAGAAAGUGUACUUGAUCCCUUAGUCCUUCUCUUGACUCACACAUCCAUGUGAACAAGUAGUUAGUCUUAAUUUUUCCAAUGCUCGAAAGUUCUCAUUCAUCAUACUAUACAACUUGCAUGAUUCCAAGUUUCGGUCCAAUUGAAACUUGGGUGAUGAGAAUCUUUCCUUAUUUGGUAAAUUUAGACACUACCACAAAUGAACGAAUCAAAUUCAUAUUUCCAAUAUUGCUAUAAACAUACAAACAUCAAGUUUUCAUGAAUGCCAUUGUAAGGAGAUAAAAAUAAAGUAAAACAAACUUUUAUUUAUUUUAAAAUGCGGAAAAAACUUUUUCCUUACAAUGUAACUUGAAAUGAAAACUAUGUUAUUACUUGUUUCCUAGCAAUCUAUCAUAACUCCUAAGAGUAGCUCAAGAAUCCAAUCUUCAAUCAAGCGAUAGAAAUCCAUCUUCGCGAUCAGAUUCAACAUACUCUUUCUUUAAGUUUCCUUCACUUUUCCUUUGAUUCUUAAACAUCAACAUGUGACCCAGUCACAUCUUGUAAUAAGAAUCUCAGAAUAGAAACUUAACCGAGUUAGAUAGUGGACCUUACCUGAAAUAGAGUCAAACUUAUUGACUUUACUAGCCUUAUGAUCUUUCAGGUAAAAUUGACAGCUUCACAACCAAUGCCCUUUCCUUUUGGCAAUAGGACCAUAUGGAUCCUUAAGUAAUAGUAAAUGGGACCAUCUCAAACUUAGCCUUUCUCUUUACCAUUUGGUCAACCGAGUUGACUAUGGCCGAUCCCUUUCCAUUGGGAAGAGAAUGCUUUUCUGGAUUUCCUUUGUCACUAUUGUCCCUGUCCAUAAAGUUUUGGGAAGUUGAUCUCCUAAUCAAAUUUGCUUUACUAGUACACUAAAUUAUUUCUGAUUUAGCAGCAUAAAGCAAAUAGAUAAGAUCAUUAAGGGUCUUGUGAUAGCCUGUUUCAUAGGAGUCCCAAGGAACUCACUAUGUGACUUUGAAAGUGAUUGAACCACUAACUUUCUUAAGACUUUAACACCCAACUCUCCCGGCUUGUCGGUAUGUGACUUCAUCUCCAAGAUGUGAUCACACCUAGACCUUGCCUUGCCAAUAGGGCUUGAGUGACCUUGAACUUGUGGGUUAGGGAGAAUAAUUGGAGGAGGUGGAGGAAGUGAAGUUCCAAGAUAUUUGGGAAGAUCAUAGAUGUCUGAACUAGACAUAUUUUGGGGGAUAUUCAAGAUACUUUUAAUAAAUUGACCUAAUUCAACUCGUGUAGUAAAGUGACUCAAAUUUUACAAAUAAUUAGUUUUUCAUAAAAUCAAGUAAUUAUCAUAAAAUUUGACACACUUCAUGCUUUUUUUCUUUCUUUCAUCAACUUGAAAAAAAUACACUUGCAUCAAAUAUAGUAGAAAACAACCCAUGGCUCUGAUACCACUAUUGGGUUUUGGUAUAAUACAACAUCCUAUGGUGCACAUACAACCCUAAAUACCUUGGAUCUAUGUUUUCACUAAUUAUACAUGCAAAUGGUUUCCAAGGCAUUAAACCUAUAACUAGCAUGCAUUUGACAUAAACCAUAUAAU
rnacentral:lncRNA from 1 species